CCCUUAGAUGUUCUGGGCCGCACGCGUGCUACACUGAGUGGAUCAGCGGGUCAGGUUGCGCGAAAGUGUUUCCUAAUCUUGAAAUCCGCUCGUGAUGGGGAUUGACGGUUGCAAUUUUCCGUCAUGAACGAGGAAUACCUUGUAAGCGCGGGUCAUCAUCCCGCGCUGAAUACGUUCCUGCCCUUUGUACACACCGCCCGUCGCUCCUAUCGAUUGAGUGGUCCGGUGAGGCUUUGGGAUCUGAGCGGAAAGAGCGUUUCGCUGUUUCUGCUCGGAAAACUCAGUCGAACCUUAUCAUUUAGAGGAAGGAGAAGUCGUAACA
rnacentral:rRNA from 1 species